rnacentral:rRNA from 1 species
CACAUGCAAGUCGAACGAGCGAGAGAGAGCUUGCUUUCUUGAGCGAGUGGCGAACGGGUGAGUAACGCGUGAGGAACCUGCCUCAAAGAGGGGGACAACAGUUGGAAACGACUGCUAGUACCGCAUAAGCCCACAGCUCGGCAUCGAGCAGAGGGAAAAGGAGUGAUCCGCUUUGAGAUGGCCUCGCGUCCGAUUAGCUAGUUGGUGAGGUAACGGCCCACCAAGGCGACGAUCGGUAGCCGGACUGAGAGGUUGAACGGCCACAUUGGGACUGAGACACGGCCCAGACUCCUACGGGAGGCAGCAGUGGGGAAUAUUGCACAAUGGGGGAAACCCUGAUGCAGCGACGCCGCGUGGAGGAAGAAGGUCUUCGGAUUGUAAACUCCUGUUGUUGAGGAAGAUAAUGACGGUACUCAACAAGGAAGUGACGGCUAACUACGUGCCAGCAGCCGCGGUAAAACGUAGGUCACAAGCGUUGUCCGGAAUUACUGGGUGUAAAGGGAGCGCAGGCGGGAGAACAAGUUGGAAGUGAAAUCCAUGGGCUCAACCCAUGAACUGCUUUCAAAACUGUUUUUCUUGAGUAGUGCAGAGGUAGGCGGAAUUCCCGGUGUAGCGGUGGAAUGCGUAGAUAUCGGGAGGAACACCAGUGGCGAAGGCGGCCUACUGGGCACCAACUGACGCUGAGGCUCGAAAGUGUGGGUAGCAAACAGGAUUAGAUACCCUGGUAGUCCACACCGUAAACGAUGAUUACUAGGUGUUGGAGGAUUGACCCCUUCAGUGCCGCAGUUAACACAAUAAGUAAUCCACCUGGGGAGUACGACCGCAAGGUUGAGACUCAAAGGAAUUGACGGGGGCCCGCACAAGCAGUGGAGUAUGUGGUUUAAUUCGACGCAACGCGAAGAACCUUACCAAGUCUUGACAUCCCU